rnacentral:lncRNA from 10 species
GCACUGGGGCCAUGGCGGCGCAGGACCGGGCUUGGCGCAACGGCACACGAUGCGGUCCUCGAGCCUCCCGGGCGCUCGGUCACCGCGCCGAAACGGGAGCGGGCAGAGUCGCCACCGCCUACCGCCGGGCCGCCUCAGAACAGGAAGCCGUGCGCCGACCGCGGAAGCCCGCCCCCAUGUAGCGAGAAGUCCGCCGACCCCAGGGACAGGAGCGAGGGGCGGGGGGAGGCGGGGAUGGGGGGGAAGCAGGGCGGCCCCGCAGAGGGGAAGCUGCGCCUCCGCAAACGCUCAGAAGCAGCUUCGCCAGACAGCCGCAACGUACAUGUUGACUGCCCGAGGCGGAAGUCGAUCGGCAGAGCGGAAGGGGGACCUGCAGAGGACCUUCCGACAGGUUGGUCAGACCAUGCCCAUGGUUCCUCCUCUCGACUUCACUAUGAAUGCCGCAUCUGUUGAAUGAAUGCAGUUUCUGCUCUUGCUUUUGGAUAGAAGUGAUUGCAAAUCUUAUCAAAAUAAUGAAAAAAAUUACUUUUCAAUUCCUUUUCAACCCUUUUGAGUCUGAGGGGCAGCUGUACAUUAAAUGAAACCAUAUGUAUCAUAAUUUCAUUUUUCCAUCAAAAGAGCUUUAAAGGAAAUUCCCCUUUUUCUCCAUGUUUUCAAUAUUUUUUGUUCCUUUUGUUAAAAUCAGAUUAAUCUCAUGAAACAUCUGAAGCAUUUAAGUCAAUUUAAGAGCUGAGAAAAUAUCAUGCUGCUAGUUCUGAAACGAUCUGAAGUGUGAAUCAGGUGAUCACCAAAUAGGGGAACAACUGAAAAAUGUGAAUGAAAGAAGUAUGUACCUAUACUAUAGUGUCAAAUAUUGUACUGUAAGCUUUAAAAUGAUAAAUUGGAAACUUUCCAAAAGUGGUUUGAAUAUGGGUCAUUUAUUUAGUAACUCAGCCAAACAUGCUAACAUUUUCUUUCCUUCCCCAUUAAUUUAUUUUACUAGCCCUUCCUAUGUUUGCCAAGUGGCUAUGUUACUGAAACCAGCCCAAUUGUCCCAUAGAACCGAUGUUUACAGUCUUCUAAAAUAAACAUAGAUAUUGACCCUUCCAGUUUUAAAGCUUGAAACUUAUAUUUGUCUUAACUGAGUUCCUUCCUCGGGAAAAUAACCUUCAUGCCUCCCAGAUAGUUUCAAGAAACUGAAACCAGGUCACCAUAUCUAGACAAUGAGAAGCCAGGUCCCUCAUCCUUCAUGAUUUCCUUACCUCUCCCUAAUUCCUGUUUACCCACAUGUAGUUACAUUCCUUUCCCACUAUAUAAACCC